GGGGCUGUGGCUCAGCGGGAGAUCAGCUGCUUGGCAUGCAGAAGGUCCCCAGUUCAAUCCUCGCAAUUUCCA
rnacentral:tRNA from 1 species